UACGGGGGGGGCAAGCGUUGUUCGGCAUUACUGGGCGUAAAGGGCUCGUAGGCGGCCAACUAAGUCGGAUGUGAAAUCCCCAGGCUUAACCUGGGAACUGCAUCCGAUACUGGAUGGCUUGAAUCCGGGAGAGGGAUGCAGAAUUCCAGGUGUAGCGGUGAAAUGCGUAGAUAUCUGGAGGAAUACCGGUGGCGAAGGCGGCAUCCUGGACCGGCAUUGACGCUGAGGAGCGAAAGCUAGGGGAGCAAACGGG
rnacentral:rRNA from 1 species